CUGUGAUUGAUGUUUAUGGUUGCAGGAGUCAGGCUGUGUUUGACACCUGACACAAACACCACCUUGAAAGACCAUGUGGAGUUUACUUGUCUUCAAGUGAAAAUGUGUGUUAGGAGAGAAGCUCUUCACUCAUCUUCCUGCACCCUCUGGAGCAGACAGGCAUUUUAAAGACUGAAACCAUCACUCCAAGACCACACCUGGGCAUGGCUCAAGUUUGGAAGUAUCCCAAAUGCAAGGCCAGAGUUCUGGGUUGAAGAUCUGUAUUAGACCCCCUCCCUUUGCACUGUGUAAACAAACACCCCUUGCAGCUGUGGGAGGCAGAGAACUGGAUCUUCUGCAAGGCUUUUCCUUGUGAAGAUAACCUUGAUCUCAAGCAUCCCAGAAAGAAGUCAUUAAAACAGCAGUGAGCAUGCUAAUUCAUCAGCACACAGAGGGUUUCUACUUAAGAAGACCUUUUGAUGGCCCCUCUAGUGCAAAGUAGAUUUGAACCUGCCCUCAAUAAAACCUGAGGAGUCCACUGAGUUUAAGAAAUCCUUCAGGCACAUCAAAGUCCCAAGUCUGCAAAGCACCACUGAUCACUAUCAGCAUGUUUCUGGACCAGAAGCAUGCUGGAGCUGGCACCAGGGGUGGAAAGUGAAGGCAAGAUGGGCCCACAUGUGUCCCACACUUCAAUCACAAUGUGCUGCCAAGGCACUGUGGUUUGGGAGCUUGGUCCAGUGAUCCCUUGACUUGGUACAGAGCAGGGACAAGAUCAUUUGAAUGCCUGCAGGAAGCAGCUGUAGGCAUUGCAUGUGAAGAAACAAACCAACUUCCACCUUUCUGUCUUGGAAGCAGCUCAUGCCACCCCUCAUCUCCUCACAAGGGGUGGGAGCAGCACUUGGAUCAAGCAACAGCAGGUGGCUGUGAGGACAGGCAGCCCCAUCCCUAAGAGCCCUGAGAAGCCUUGGAAAGCCAUUCCUGAGGGGCUGGAGGAUGUCAGCACAGGCUGGGGGCAGAGAGCCUCAGGUUACUUGCUGAAUUGUGCCACAUGCUAUUAAAUCAUCCCACAUUAGGCAAAUCCAUGGGCUUGAUGAUUUCCCUUUUUCAGCACAGCUGAGUGGAGAUGCAAACACACACACAACACACUCUAUAAUUUUCUCUAUAAUUUUUCUCUGCAUGGUAGAUGCGACCUGAAAAAUAAACACAUGUUUCCCUGUGGGCUGUGAUGUUUCUCUGACUGGUGCUUGUGUUUGCCAGCUGUAACACAUCCCUUCCAGUCCGGUGCCUUUGCUGUUGUCACUGUGAUGCCCACUGCACCUCUUUGGUAGUGCCCUGCAGCAGGAUGGGACUGUUUCCACCCUGCUCCAGCCUCAGUUAAACAGUGAUUUAUUUCUCUGCCAGCACCAAGAGCUGUUUGCAAGUGAGGCAGAGA